rnacentral:lncRNA from 1 species
CACGUGCCACGCUCCCUUAACACACACACCCCCUCCGGUCGCGCGGCACGGCGGGCCAGCCGGGACAAAAAGGUUCCUGAGGAGGCAGGGAAAAGUGCAACGCUUUUGAGUCCGGGGAAUUAGCGGGCUUCUUUCCCGAGGCGUCGCCGCCCGCUAAGGGCAGCAGCCACGGGCACAGAGGCAGGCACUGCAACCAGCCCAGGCAAGGGAGGGCGGAGCUUGCAGGAGGGUAUCUGGGCUUUCCAAAAGAGAGGCGCUGGGGUCAGGAAGGAGAACCGAGUCCCAAGCUGCGAGUCCGAGCUGUGUCCGCCGCUUCUCGGCACUUGUGCCCGCCGCUUCCAGGAUCCGUCUGCCCCCGACGGCUGUUGGACCAGCCCCGGGUCCUGAGCGCAUCCUGGCUGCAGAGCCUUCUCCCCGGGGCAGAUGCAGACGAACCCCCGACGGGGUUCCUUGGCAAACCCGAGCUGCACCAAAUCCAAGCAGAAGCCGAUCUCGGAUCAGAGCGGCUUCCCGAGCGCCUCCGGGGUCCGAGUCCGCCGCCCUCCGCAAUGGGAGGAGGACGAAUGGACCCCACUGCCCGCCAGGAGGGUGCCCCAAGAGAACAAUUGGUGGUCGUUCGAGGCUUGGCCACGGGGUUCUUAGAAGAGCCGUGAGGUGGGGGAGGAAGAAAAGAACGUGCCGUCCUCGGACUCUCCCAUCAUCAGUCUGCCUUAAUGGGCUGGUUUACGGUCCCCUCCCAGCUAAGCCCCAGCUUCAUUGACAUUCAGCUUUCAUUCAGACUCCAGCCACCGAGAGGACUGUAGCAUUGGCUCCGUCCAGUGCCUGGGCUGGAAAGCAGACGCUUCCAGAGGGGGAAAAAAUACCGAAACAGAGACUAUGCAUGAUGCCAGUAUGUCCUCUCCGAUGUAGAAAGAAGGCAGGUCUUUGUGCCUUAGCGAGUCUUCGUACAACUACGUUCUAUGCUUGCCCCACGGUUCUUGCCACUUUCCAUCUUUUAAUUCAUUCCGCUUUGCUCCAAACGAACGCAUAAAUCUUGAGCUGCAACCAGUCUUAAGACACACACACACACACACACACACACACACACACACACGAAUUGUAACCACACUCGGUCUUAACCCACACUUAAAUCAGCAGCCAAAUUAACUACUCCUCCCCUUUAAAAAAGAAAGAAAAAUCACCCACAGUAUGCAGUCCAUACUGGACACAAGCAAACAAAAGAGAUUUGUAUUCAUCUAUUUACAGAAUAAACAGUUUAAUUGCCUUUCCCCA